GAUGAAGAACGCAGCGAAAUGCGAUAAGUAAUGUGAAUUGCAGAAUUCAGUGAAUCAUCGAAUCUUUGAACGCACAUUGCGCCCCCUGGUAUUCCGGGGGGCAUGCCUGUUCGAGCGUCAUUUCACCACUCAAGCCUCGCUUGGUAUUGGGCAACGCGGUCCGCCGCGUGCCUCAAAUCGACCGGCUGGGUCGUCUGUCCCCUAAGCGUUGUGGAAACUAUUCGCUAAAGGGUGUUCGGGAGGCUACGCCGUAAAACAACCCCAUUUCUAAGGUUGACCUCGGAUCAGGUAGGGAUACCCGCUGAACUUAAGCAUAUCAAUAAGCGGAGGA
rnacentral:misc_RNA from 1 species